rnacentral:rRNA from 1 species
CCUACGGGAGGCAGCAGUGGGGGAUAUUGCACAAUGGGGGGAACCCUGAUCCAGCGACGCCGCGUGGGUGAAGGAGUGCUUCGGCAUGUAAAGCUCUAUCGGCAGGGAAGAAGCAAGGCGGUAGCUGACGAAUAAGCCCCGGCUAACUACGUGCCAGCAGCCGCGGUAAUACGGAGGGGGCGAGCGUUGUCCGGAUUUAUUGGGUGUAAAGGGAGCGUAGACGGUCAAGCAAGCCAGGGGUGAAAGCCCGGGGCCCAACCCCGGGACUGCCCUUGAAACUGCAUGGCUGGAGUGCGGGAGGGGCAGGCGGAAUUCCUGGUGUAGCGGUGAAAUGCGUAGAUAUCAGGAGGAACACCGGCGGCGAAGGCGGCCUGCUGGACCGCGACUGACGUUGAGGCUCGAAAGCGUGGGGAGCGAACAGGAUUAGAUACCCGAGUAGUC